rnacentral:piRNA from 1 species
CCUAUGCAUUAAUUGCACCUGCAUACAAUU